GGACCAUGCUUCUUGGCUAGAUCUCGAAAGACUCGAGGAAUGUGGUCGUCGCCUGAAAGAAGUAUGUUGUGAAGAUUGCCAAUGAUGGGAAGCUUGGUUGGUCCUGGUGGUAAUCUCUUGUAGUUUUUUGUCUUCACUAGAAUGAACAUCACCAAAGAUAGGAAUGAAGUAAAGAAUAUUAAAGGCCAUGAUGGGAAUUGAAUGCCCAUUGUAGCUUUAAUUCCAAAUUAAUUGUUAAAUUGGAAUUGAAUUAUUUGUGUCUAUGAAUCUCACUUGCUAUUUAUAUAAGAACUGUCACCUUAAUUUUCAACACCCAAUUUUCAAUUCCCAAUUCCAUAAUUCUGAUCAAUUCCCAAUAUAAUUCUCAAUUCCCAAUUACCAAUUCCCAAUUAAUCAAGUGUGGUCAACAUACACUUUUCUAUCAACAUCAAUUCCCAAUUCCCUACACUUAGCAUGUUAUUCAAAUAAAUAUUGUUAGGGUUUGUUAAUUUAAUGUUGUUAAUCAAUAUUAUAUUAAUUUUAUAGAAUAGUUUUCAGGUGAGUCACUCUUAAGUGAUGUAACAUCUCGUAAAUUUAUAGAUUAUUAUUGUAAUUUUUCCCUCUAGUUUAUUAUUUUAAACAAUUAGUUGAAAGGUAUUAUAGAUAGUUUAUAAGCUAGGUUCAAAAACAUAAUUUUUAUAAAACAUAAGACGCAGAAACGAUAAAUUAAUCCUGCAAGUAAAUAAAAAUGGGUAUAAGUUUUGCAUUCAAAACUCGGAUGUCUUUAACCUAACAAAUUAAAUAUUUCAUUAUUAUUUUUAAACUCUUGUCUCUUUUUUACUAUAUAUAUUCAGUUGAACUCGUCCAUCCAGACGCAUAGGGUUCUAAACCCCCUCUUGGGAAUGACUUUCACCAUUCCCCAUACUCGAUCAUGUGCGGAACACAAUCUCGACCAGACUCGAAUCAUCUCGGAGGUGUGAUCCAACCAAACUGCCCCGUCGGGUCAUUCGCCUCGCCAGGCUUAGACUCGAGUUUCCCCCAUGGAUUCGCCCAUUCCAACUGCUUGAAGGGCAUUCCUAAUUAUCUAUAUUUAUAAUUAAGUUGAGGUCCCCCAUGGGUUCACCCGACCAGAUUCUCUCGUCGGGGCACAUUCAUUCAAACUCCCAUAGGGCACAAUUAUUUAGAUUCCCCAAAGGGACAAUAACACAGACUCCCCGAAGGGCACAAUAACUAAUCGGACUUCCCAAAGGGCACAAUAACUAAUCGGACUUCCCAAAGGGCACAAUAACUAAUCGGACUUCCCAAAGGGCAUAAUAGCAUAGACUCUCCAAAAGGUACAUUUAUUCUAACGUAUUUUUUCAGUUCGAUUCCUUGCCUUUUGUCAAACUUUUCGGUCUAUGACUACCUAAUGGGAUCACUUAAACCUACAUCCACAGUUAGGAUUUAAAAAAUUUGAGUCAGACGUGGUAUGUCCACUUGAUCUCUCUUAACCCGUGUGCAUUUGGAUUCGACCCAAUAGAGAUUGAGUCUAAAUCCCAAACGUGAACCAAGGUCUAUGCUAGACCCUAAUAUGAGCAGAAGGUCUCCCUGAGGACUCUUGAGCUCAACAUAAAUCCUUUCCCGACCUCACCUGUACACCCAAGACAUUCUCGAUCUGCCUCUAGCUGGCUCCCAGCUUUCUCGAUCAAUCACCCUUACCAGGUGCACUUGAGUUCAAAGUAGACCAUAAGGUGAACUAAAGGUCUCCCUAGGGACUCUUUAAUUUAUCUUAGGUGUCACCCCUAACCCAUGGUUGGUCCAAUUAACAAGGUUUAUCUAAACCUUUGGUCAAACCGUCACCAAAUCAAUUUGAUGUAAUUCUUUUUAAUUACAUCUAUUACAUUUUCACCCUUGUUUCUUUUUAAUUAAAUUUGCAAGUAUUACCAUAGUAGUCCAACUUUAAUUGAGUUACUCAAAUAUUAAAUGAAAGCAUAUAACUAGCUAUAACAUAUAACAAACUUUCCAUUUAAAUCUACUCUAAAAUCAAUACAAUUAUAUUUACCAUAGUGAUUCACUGGCCUUAAUUGAUUUACACAUUAAAUGUCAAAAUGGAAACACAUAAUAAACUUUUCAUUUAAAUCAAUUAUAGAAUGAAUACAAUUAUUAUUAUAGUAAUUCAUCUUAAAUGAGUUGUACAAAACCAAAAAAAGAAAAGAAAACAUAUAAAGUAAGUUUCAACAACCUUAAGUAAUUAGAACAACCAUAAAAUUUAUGAUAUCUUCAUCUUAUUCAAUCUCAUUAUAAAUAGUAAUAUUUCAUGAAAUAAAGUAAUCCAUGUAAACGAUAAUUAACCCCAAUCAAUUUUUACUAAUUAAAAUUUUAAGCAUAAAUGCAAAAUAUUUUUAAGUAGAAAUGACAUAUGUAAAAUACCCUUUUAUUUAUCUCUACACAAUUUACAUUUUAUUUAGCUCUACACAUAUAAAAUAUCAAUUUAAUCAGCCCAACUCGAUUUCAAUAUUUUAACAUGAAAAAUCUUAAAUCUUAGGAAACAUAGAAAAUCGAUUUCGUUGAACCUACCCUUAACAUAAAAAAAACGAGAUCGAAUUUAAAUGGAUAAUUUUUUAUAAAUAGAUGAAACUUGAUAAAAUCUUAAACAUAUAUAAAUAUCUCAACAAUUCUAUCACAAAUAUAUGCACAUUCAAACAUCAUCUUCAAACAUCAAACUUAAAAUCAUUUUCAUCAUUCACAAUACCUAGCUAAAUUAUGUAUUCGUAAAUAUGUAAUUCAUUUUAAUCUUAUUUGAUGAGUAAGAAUAUAUAAAUACGUAUUCAAAUCGAUUUUAUCAUAGACGUAUUCAUAUUUUGUGUUUAAUAAACACUCAUGCAUUCACAUUUUUAAACUUAAGUGAAACUUACAUACAAAUCCUAAUAUGAAAUAACAUUUUAUUUCUAAAUUUGAGAAUAAUAAUUCAAAGGUGAGAAGAAAUACGUACCUUCUUUCUUGAUUUUUUCUUCUUUCUCCUAAAUCCUUAAGAGUUUAGCUUAACCUCCAACAUACACUAAAGGUCUCGUUGAUUUCUUCUCCUACUUCUUUCUUUUAUAGUGUUUCCUAAGGGUUUCCCAUCCAUCAAUGAUUUUACCUUUUAAUUUAUCUUUAGAUUUUAAAAGUCACAUAAGGUAAAUCAGGAAUUAUUUCCUUCUUUUGUAAUUUUCUUUCUUUGAAUUCAUUCAUAGUUUAAUUGUUAUUUAAUUUGCAACUUAAUUGCAAGUUUUAAUUCAAAUUAUUUCAAAAACUUCCUUUUUACUUGAUUAGGAUCACCUAAUCAAGAUAUAUAUAUAUAUACCUCCACCUCUUCCUAUUCCUAACCCUAGUCAACUAGUGUGGUCAGCUCUAACUGAAUAUAUAGCUCAUUAAUUGAGUUUAAUCCAUCUAAUUUAAUUAACCCGCCAACUUAAUUAUUAUCGAUUCAACUUUGUAGUUAUAUAUGAUUCAAUAAAAAAAUAUAAUAAUAAAAAUGAUUGCUAUAACAAUUUUUUGAUGGAGAAAAUGAGGAAAUUUUUAGGCCAAAACCACACACAAUAUAUAUACUAGUAUUAAAUAUUUAAUUUGUAGGAAAUACAGGUAUCAAUAUGAGUGGAUAUUUCCUACAUAAAGUUCCUUUAACACAUUCAGUCAUGUCAAGCUCUUCUCCCGGCACACCAUCUGUCAUCUUCCAAUUGAAAUGAUAUAGAAUGGUAGUAAGAAAAAGUUCAACAUUAGCUAGGGCAAAUGUUAUACCAGGACAAAUUCUUUUUCCAGAACCAAAUGGAAUUAAAUCAAAGUGGGAUCCUUUGAAAUCUAUUGGAUUUCCCAUGAACCUCUCUGGUUUGAAUACUUCUGGAUUUUCCCAUUUGUUUGGAUCUCGUCCUAUCGCCCAAGCAUUCACAAGGAUGCUUGUCUUUUCUUCUACAUCAUAAUCAUUUAUUUGACAUUUCUCCCUACAUUCAUGAGGAGCGAGAAGUGGCACAGGUGGAUGGAGCCUCAAGGUUUCUUUGAUGACGUUUUGCAUGUAGCUCAUUUCCUUGCUAAAAGAAUUAUCAUAAUCAUCAGCUUCUGUACCGAUUAUUUUAAAGGUUUUUCUCACCUCAGAUGUCACUUUCUUCAUGGUUUCUGGAUUUUUCACCAACUCAGAUAUUACCCAUUCUAGUGUUGUGGAAGUUGAUUCUGUUCCCGCAAUGAAAAUGUCCUAAAAAUACCAAUUGAAAAAUGAUUUAUAGUGUUUCAAGGAAAUACGUACAUAUAGAUCGACUUUAAUUUUGAGUUAUAAAAAAUGAUCAACUUACCAACAUUAUCGCCUUCAAAUUACUCAUAGUAAAUUCAAAGCCAGAUUCAUUCUUCUUUUGAAUUUUGAGAAGAAUAUCAAGAAAAUCUUCAUCUUCAUCUGCUACCCCAUUUUUGUUAUUUUUUGAUUUCUCAAGAUGUUCAUCUACGACUGUAUUUAGAAUAUGAUCAUUUGUCCUAUACGUCUUUUCCGCUUUUUUCCUCAAACCAGUCAACCAAACGAUGAAUUUCUCCACAGCAGGAAAGUAAUUAGAAAUGUUGAAAUCAACUACAAGAUCAAUAGAUUCCUUCAUUGAAACCAGAAAUGCCUCCUUUUGUCUAAGGUUAUUGCCAAACCCAGCACGGCUGGCGAUGUUGUUGUUAAGAGAAAGAAACAUUUCACUUAGAUUAACUGGAGUACCGUUGGUUGCAGCUUUUGUAAGAACGUGCAUCAUUUCGCAUACUUCUUCUCUUCUCAAUCUGUUAAAAGACUUCACCUUUUUAGCACUGAGAAGCUCAAGAGUGACGAUCUUUCUCAUUUGCCUCCAGUAUUCUCCAUAAGGUGCUAGAAAAAUAUCGGUAUUGUUGUACAUAAUAAUUCUAGCCGUAAAUAUAUCUGGUCGAGAUGCAAAGUUUGUGUCAUGAAUCUUAAGGAACUCCUUUGCAACAUCUGAUGAAGAGACAAUGAUAUGUGGAAUCUGACCGAAUUGUAAGUGCAUGAACGGACCGUGCUUCUUGGCGAGAUCUCGGAAGACUCGAGGAAUGUGGUCGUCGCCUGAAAGAAAUAUGUUAUGAAGAUUGCCAAUGAUGGGAAGCUUAGUUGGUCCUGGUGGUAGUCUUUUGGUGUUUUUCAUCUUAAUUAGAAUGAAAAUCCCCAAUGGUAAGAACAAAGAAAAGACUAAUGACCAUGAUGGGAAUUGAAGCUCCAUUGCGCUUAUCUUUAAUUUGUGUGCAAUAUCAUCCAAUAUU
rnacentral:lncRNA from 1 species